AACAUGUGGUACAUGAAACUGAGCUUUCCUAAGUAGAGGAGAGACUGGAAAGGUGCCUGGAUACUGCAGGAGGGACCUGAGAGCUUCUUUGUGGGCAAAUAGAAACUUUCUUUGGAUUGAAUGGGCAAGAAUUGGGGUCAGGUGUGCAGUCUGUUCUCUGGGGAAAGCCUAUGGAAGACCUUAGACAAAGUUCUUGGAAAAGGAUCAUCUUAGGUAAUGGAUUUCCCAGAGACUGAGACAUGAGGAAACACUCCCAAGGUUUGCAAGGUGGCACAGACCUCAGAAUUGUUCUUAAGAGAAAGGUAGAGGAAAGAUCGAGUGCUGUGUUUGGAGGCAGCCCCUCUGCAGUUUGGGGAACCCCAGUGCCCAGGCUUCUGCACCCCCUGGGGUUCUCCAUGUCCUCAUUGCCUUGGUGUGCCCUUUGCAGCCCUGUGAAGACGUGGCAGUGGUGGAUCAGCCAUGAAGAUCCUGUACCUGCUCUUCCCCUUGCUCCUCCUGCUGGUCCAGGGUGCUGCAGGAAGUGUACAUCUAUGCAGACAUCAAAGGGGAAUCUGUGUUUCUGGGAGAUGCCCCCUGGGUUCCAGACCCAUUGGGAGAUGUACAGCACAAACCUUGUGCUGCAGACGGUAAGGACUGCAUUCCUGACC
rnacentral:lncRNA from 1 species